CUAUUCUUAUCUUUCCAAGAACAAAAGAGUUGCUUCAUUAUUGCCUAAACAGGAGGCGUGGCUUGUUUAGGUGUGUCUUUGUGAGAAAGUAGUAAUACGUAUAAAUGUUGACUGAAGAGUUUACUUCCUUACAGACACGGGAUCAUCACCAUGAUGGAGACGAUGUUCUGGACUGUCCUCAUCACCACGGUUUUCUUACACACAGCAAAAGCACAGUUCACAGGUUUGUGUACUGGUCAAUGCUGCCCGGGAGAAGAUUUUAGCUGUAUUAACGUUGACUGCUUAUGUGAUGAGGGGUGUCUGUCCAGAGGCGACUGCUGCCCUGAUUUUGUGGAUAGCUGUGCUGUUCUAGCACCAGCACCUCCCCCCAUUGUAGCCACCAGCAGUAGCUCCAUCACAAGUGACAGCGUCUCCACCACCAGCUAUAGUGUCUCCAGCACCAGCUCCAGCGUCCCCACCAACAGCUACAGCGUCCCCACCACCAGCUACAGCGUCCCCACCACCAGCUACAGUGUCUCCACCACCAGCUACAGUGUCUCCACCACUAUGUCUUCACCCACGUCCACCACUUCAGGUCUUUUAACACCGUCCCAGACACAGUCAAGUUCCACGAACAGCAGCUCUGUAUCCAGCACCAGCUCCUCACCCACUUCCACCAGCUCAGUGCUGCUGCUCCUGGCAUUGACCCUGCCUGUGACCCAUCAACUCAUUUUUAAUGAGGGAUAAUCAUCUUUUGGAUCAUUAUCCAACAUAAGUCAUACAAUCUUCUAGAAAACCAAGUAAUUACUUGGAGAGAUGUGCUGCCUUAAUGAUUGCAGUGGACAUCAUGAAAUAUCAUUAUGAAGUUCUUGCGCUGACAAGUUAUACUUUACACUGACCUUUGCACUGACCUCUGCCAACUUUUACUUCACUGUUAUUCUAAGCUACUUUGCUGCAAACUCUUUCCACUGUGACGGCCAUGUCACCUUCGUUGCUGUACUUUUAAUAAUUUUAAAAAUAAGUUUAAAAUAAAUUCCUGUGUUUUGUUAACA
rnacentral:lncRNA from 1 species